UGCCAUGAUGAUGUAAUUUGCGUCCUACUCCGUGCUUUGCGACAGUUGCCUGCUGUCAUUAUGCAUGCAUGGGUGGCUGACGAAAAUUUAAGCUCUGAGCA